GGGUCAGUAGGUUGGUCGUGCCACCGGUACGUACUGGUCUCACUGAUUCCUCCUUCCUGAAGAACCGUAAUGCCAUUAAUUUGGUGUUGCGGGGAAACAGGACUGUUACUUCAAAAAAAUUAGAGUGUUUAAAGCAAGCUAACGCUUGAAUACAUUAGCAUGGAAUAAUGAAAUAGGACGAUCGAUCCUAUUUUGUUGGUUUCUAGGAUUGACGUA
rnacentral:rRNA from 1 species